GACGAACGCUGGCGGCGUGCUUAACACAUGCAAGUCGAACGAUGAAGAAGAGAAACGCGAACUUCGGUUCAAAUUUCACUUCGGAUUAGUGGCAGACGGGUGAGUAACGCGUGAGCAACCUACCUCUUACAAGGGGAUAGCCUCGGGAAACCGUGAUUAAUACCAUAUGACACAUUCAUAAGGCAUCUUAAGAAUGUUAAAGCUACGGCGGUAAGAGAUGGGCUCGCGUCCCAUUAGCUAGUUGGUGAGGUAACGGCCCACCAAGGCGACGAUGGGUAACCGGCCUGAGAGGGUGAACGGUCACAUUGGAACUGAGACACGGUCCAAACUCCUACGGGAGGCAGCAGUGGGGAAUAUUGCACAAUGGAGGGAACUCUGAUGCAGCGACGCCGCGUGAGCGAUGAAGGAAUUCGUUUCGUAAAGCUCUGUUCUAUGGGAAGAAAAGGACUGUACCAUAGGAGAAAGCCCCGGCUAAAUACGUG
rnacentral:rRNA from 1 species